rnacentral:rRNA from 1 species
GGAUUAGAUACCCUGGUAGUCCACACCGUAAACGAUGAAUGCCAGUCGUCGGGUAGCAUGCUAUUCGGUGACACACCUAACGGAUUAAGCAUUCCGCCUGGGGAGUACGGUCGCAAGAUUAAAACUCAAAGAAAUUGACGGGGGCCCGCACAAGCGGUGGAGCAUGUGGUUUAAUUCGAAGCAACGCGCAGAACCUUACCAACCCUUGACAUCCUAGGACCGUUCCAGAGAUGGAUCUUUCACUUCGGUGACCUAGUGACAGGUGCUGCAUGGCUGUCGUCAGCUCGUGCC